rnacentral:lncRNA from 1 species
GAUUUCAGACAAACUCGACUUUCAGAAUAAUUGUACCUAAAGUAUUUAUAAACAGCUCAUGGGAGCCCCUAUUUGUCAUAGACUUUUGAGUUUAUUGUUGGGACCACACAAUAGGACCAUUUUUUUUUGUCUUUAAAAUUGUUGUAAUCUCUGUAUGCACUUUGCUUUUUUAGUAAACGUGAUCCAAGGUGAGCCUUGACUUUGAGUAGUGCUAGGACAAGAUUGUAUUCUAACACCAGCAUGGAUCUGCUUCCCAUUGUGUUUGACACGUGAGCCAAGUAGUGUCAGCCUGCUGUGAGCUAACUCUGGCAGGAUGAGGCUCCUGUAGAAGUAAUUUUUUUUCCAGUAUUUAGUAAUGAAAGAUUUUAAUGCAUUAAUGGUAAUACAUUUCUGGUUUAAUAUAAAUUUAAGGAUGUUUUCUAGUUGUAUAUGGAUGCUGGCAACUUAGUAAAGUUUUGACAAUUGUUUAAAUACGUAAUGUUAAGCUUAGGUUUAAAAAUCUGGUAAACUGGGUCUUUGUCAUUUACUUAAAAAAAAAAAGAAAAUAAAUGUGAAUGUGUUUGGUGCAUUUAAAAAAAUAAAU